rnacentral:misc_RNA from 1 species
GAAAUGCGAUAAGUAAUGCGAAUUGCAGAAUUUCCGUGAGUCAUCGAAUCUUUGAACGCACAUUGCGCCCUUUGGUAUUCCGAAGGGCAUGCCUGUUCGAGCGUCAUUAUCCUCCCCUUAAACCCCCGUCUUGGGGGUUUGGUGUUGGACCGCGUUGGGGGCUUAUCGCUCCGCCAACUGGUCUUAAAGGUAGUAACGGCGUCAGUUGGACCCUCCUCGCACUGAGCUUUUCGGAGCACGCCUGGAGUCGCAAGGUCCUAGGGGCACGGUCGGCCCCGUGUGGACACUACCGCACGGAAGAGCCUUUUUUUUCAGGUUGACCUCGGAUCAGGUAGGAAUACCCGCUGAACUUAA